AAGCAUGAGGUUCAGGAACCUGCAGCGCCCGCCGUCCAUGAAGCUUUCUUCUCUGCAGGAGACGAUGGCAGCUUCGGGGAAGCACCUUGACGGGAGGGCUAGGCCGGCGGCGAGGAUGGUCGUGGAGGUGAACGACUACCCGGGAUCCGGCGCCAACAACCGCCAUGACCCGCCAAAGGGUCCAGGAAGAGGGUGAAGCACCAAGCUUAGCUAGAGCGCCCCACUGCAGACCAUAAACUAAAUACUAGGCCAAGAAAAGAUCCAAGUGAUGUUUUGUUCCGGCGGUCUUCUCUUCGUUAGUACUACCACCAUCCGUCCGUCAGUCGUCAUCGUGUACAUCGUAUACUUCCCCGUUCAAAAUAAUUGUCUAAAAAUGGAAGUAUCUAACAUGUUUCAGUGUGUAGAUAUAUCAUUUUUUGGCAAUUAUUUUAAAAUGGAGGGGUAUCAUGUUUCGGAUGUCAGUACACAGUGUUUCUGAAGAGAAAUUGCUCCUUGGUUGGCCCUGCUUUCAUGUCA